GAUGAACGCUAGCGACAGGCUUAACACAUGCAAGUCGAGGGGCGAGCGGAGAGGAAAGACUUGCUUUUCUUCUGCCGGCGACCGGCGCACGGGUGAGUAAACACGUAUGCAACCUACCCCUGGCAGGGGGAUAACCCGGAGAAAUCCGGACUAAUACCGCGUAACACCGCGGGGAGACAUCUCCCGGCGGUCAAAGGAAGCGAUUCCGGCCAGGGAUGGGCAUGCGGCGCAUUAGGCAGUUGGCGGGGUAACGGCCCACCAAACCGACGAUGCGUAGGGGUUCUGAGAGGAAGGUCCCCCACACUGGUACUGAGACACGGACCAGACUCCUACGGGAGGCAGCAGUGAGGAAUAUUGGUCAAUGGGCGCAAGCCUGAACCAGCCAAAGUCGCGUGAGGGAAGACGGUCCUAUGGAAUUGUAAACCUCUUUUGUCAGGGAGCAAGCGCGGGACGCGUCCCCGUAGCUGAGAGUACCUGAAGAAAAAGCAUCGGCUAAACUCCGUGCCAGCAGCCGCCGCUGUAA
rnacentral:rRNA from 1 species